AAUAUGGAAAGUAAUUUUUAUGGCAGAGAGUCUGACAGAGAUUUCUGCAUGUUAAUCACUGGGUCUUUUCCACUGUGGUAAUGAGGGAUUACUGCAAACCUUUUUUGAUAUAUCACAGUUGUUUGUGAUGGAAUUUAUGUAAUCAGUGUGGUAAUGUAGGAAUGAGGGAAAUGAGUAUUCAUUGUCUCAUGAAAAUCCAUUGAACUGCUGAAAUAUUUACUCCAAAAAGACCCUAGUACUCUUCUGUGGCACCCACAACCAUUGGGAGGUAUCUAUGAAUAGGGAAUCUAAGCCUCUUUUUCUAGGACAAAAUAACACCAAUAGAAGCUGGCAAAAAUACGAGUCGGAGAAGUUAUAAAUUCUUAAUGGAACUAUCUUUCAGUUAGAAUACUAUGUUUUCUUAACCCAGUAAUUUUUACAUCUGAAAUAUGCUGCUUUAUGUGAAUAUUUAUUAUUUCAUUGAAAAGCCAGGAAAGCUUGGCUAAGCUGUAGAGUUUUCUAGUAUUGGCAUAUAUUACAGGAAUUGUUGAGUGCCUUGGUCCCCAGUGCAUCCCCAGUUCCUCAGUCAGCUGGAUUUGAAGACCAGUCUACAUCACCCAAGAAACAAUGUUCUCAGAAACUCCCUUGGCUCAUCUCUCUUCCUCACAAGAAAGAGGAAACUAGUGCAUCACAGGAGAUGUGUAUUCAUUAAAUGUGAAUGAGCUCCAAGAGUAACGCUGCCCCCUGUCCUGAGAAAAAAGAUAAAAUGCCUCCCAGCAACAGACACGGUUUGAUUCCUUGACUUGGAAGCUGCCCCCGCUGUUUCCCUUGGGAGCUGGAUGUCUGCCACAGCUGGGUGGUGAAGAUUGUCUGAGUAGCUGUGCAGGCUGGUCCUCAGUUGCCUCUUACUACAGCACUCAAAACCCCGAGGAAGUGAUUGCUGCUGUUUCUUCAGCUAUAAGAGCUGCCUGAGUGCAGCCUAAGCAAUAAUAAAUUAAUUAUUUAAUGUAUUUUUUCUUAUAUGAGAUCUCAUUCAGGAUCAUUGUUCACUAUAUGUUCAUUCUACAGCUUUUGGACCUUUUGCUUUCUUUGUAGUAGAGUCCAGUUAUCCCUCUGUUUGGCUGGUGGCAGGAGAAAUGGUUACAAUCCUCUGAUGUACACAGUCCAGUGAUUCACUGGCCCUGGGCAGGCUGUUGACAGAGCCUGUGUGAGGUCUGGCUCAGCAGCAGCUCCAGUCCUCCCAGCAAAGGCAGUGGGUGGGAUGUGAGAUUUAAGCCUCACAUCUUGCCUGGCAGGGGAACUGUGCAAGGCCAAACAGGCAUCCAUGUCUGGAGUCAGACAGGAAGAAGCUAACAUACCUAGUAAAACAGGGGUCUCUAAAUGUCUCCUAUCAUCUGGAGGAUUUUUUGCUCCUUUAUAAUUAUGUGCUAUCUCUUCCUGUGAUGAACUAUAUGUCUUUUACAGAGUAAAAUGACAAGAACUUAUUUCUGUUUUCUGAACAACUAUUUAUUCCUCUGUCCAAGUGUACUGUUUGAGAAAACAGGCAUAGAUCUUUUCUCCAAAUUCGCAAUUUCAGCAUUGCUAUUCUAUGUUUUCCCUCAGCUAGUGACUUGUAAAACACCUCUUCAGAAACACUGAAGACAGUAUACCUUCUUGUAUUAUUUUUUACUCACCAAAACAUGGUUGUCAAUGUAGGUUUUAAAACACGAUCAUGAUAACACUAAAUGCACUAGACUACCAGGGACAUGAAAUUUUCUUCUUGUAGAGAAACACUAAUCUCGAAAUCAGUGUC